AGUGAACGCUGGCGGUAGGCCUAACACAUGCAAGUCGAACGGCAGCACAGUAAGAGCUUGCUCUUACGGGUGGCGAGUGGCGGACGGGUGAGGAAUACAUCGGAAUCUACUUUUUCGUGGGGGAUAACGUAGGGAAACUUACGCUAAUACCGCAUACGACCUACGGGUGAAAGCAGGGGAUCUUCGGACCUUGCGCGAUUGAAUGAGCCGAUGUCGGAUUCGCUAGUUGGCGGGGUAAAGGCCCACCAAGGCGACGAUCCGUAGCUGGUCUGAGAGGAUGAUCAGCCACACUGGAACUGAAACACGGUCCAGACUCCUACGGGAGGCAGCAGUGGGGAAUAUUGGACAAUGGGCGCAAGCCUGAUCCAGCCAUACCGCGUGGGUGAAGAAGGCCUUCGGGUUAUAAAGCCCUUUUGUUGGGAAAGAAAAGCAGCAGGUUAAUACCCCGCUGUUCUGACGGUACCCAAAGAAUAAGCACCGGCUAACUUCGUG
rnacentral:rRNA from 1 species